rnacentral:rRNA from 1 species
ACCUGCCGCUUACUCGGGGAUAGCCUUUCGAAAGAAAGAUUAAUACCCGAUGGUAUAAAGAGUUCGCAUGUUCUCUUUAUUAAAGAAUUUCGGUAAGCGAUGGGGAUGCGUUCCAUUAGAUAGUUGGCGGGGUAACGGCCCACCAAGUCUACGAUGGAUAGGGGUUCUGAGAGGAAGGUCCCCCACAUUGGAACUGAGACACGGUCCAAACUCCUACGGGAGGCAGCAGUGAGGAAUAUUGGUCAAUGGACGCGAGUCUGAACCAGCCAAGUAGCGUGAAGGAUGACUGCCCUAUGGGUUGUAAACUUCUUUUAUAAGGGAAUAAAGUGAGGGACGUGUCCCUUUUUGUAUGUACCUUAUGAAUAAGGAUCGGCUAACUCCGUG